rnacentral:rRNA from 1 species
GACGAACGCUGGCGGCGUGCCUAAUACAUGCAAGUAGAACGCUGAAGCUUGGUGCUUGCACCGAGCGGAUGAGUUGCGAACGGGUGAGUAACGCGUAGGUAACCUGCCUGGUAGCGGGGGAUAACUAUUGGAAACGAUAGCUAAUACCGCAUAAGAGUAGAUGUUGCAUGACAUUUGCUUAAAAGGUGCAAUUGCAUCACUACCAGAUGGACCUGCGUUGUAUUAGCUAGUUGGUGAGGUAACGGCUCACCAAGGCAACGAUACAUAGCCGACCUGAGAGGGUGAUCGGCCACACUGGGACUGAGACACGGCCCAGACUCCUACGGGAGGCAGCAGUAGGGAAUCUUCGGCAAUGGACGGAAGUCUGACCGAGCAACGCCGCGUGAGUGAAGAAGGUUUUCGGAUCGUAAAGCUCUGUUGUAAGGGAAGAACGAGUGUGAGAGUGGAAAGUUCACACUGGGACGGUAUCUUACCAGAAAGGGACGGCUAACUACGU